UGUGAAUCUGGAAAAAGCCAAUUUACACUUCCAAGCCGAAUUAUGCAUUUUAGUAUGGUUUACGAAAUUCUAAUGCUCUUUGGAGUAUCCUCUGAUGCCCUGUUUCUUUUAUGGUGUAAUGUAAGCUCUCUUUGUGCUUUAUGCACACGAACAUGCGGGCUUCCUACACCACGCUGCAGUUGCACACGCACAAUAAUGCCUGUUUUCUGGCGCUCUCCGGCUACUGGUGGAUGAGACUUCACAAAAACAAAAGUUCCAAAUAUACCUACAAAGUGUUUACAAGAAGGAAGAAGAUCAAAAGAGCAACAUACUCAGGAAUCAUACAGUAUAACAUCUGAGGAACAUUAUAUACACAAAAGUAAAAAAUGAAACCUAUAAGCAUGUACCACUUUCAUGUACUUUCUCUGCUUUCUGGUUUCUACCAUGCCUUCCAAUAAAGGAAACUCCAGCAGUAAAAGUUGGGGGUUCACCUUUGUUGUUGCGGCUGGUUUAAUUGUUCUAAUGCAAAAUUAAUGAAUAGUUUUAACAUUUGUGGAUUAUUCUGACAAUACUUGGAGGAACAGAGACAUAUUAAAAACUUAAAUAUAUGAUACUGAUGUUCCACAAUAAUAUUGAUUUUACAGUUCAUUAUGAACUAGCUUUUGGCUAUCAGUGAACACCAAUCAGUGAAUCCUGACAUAAUCCCCACUGAUCAAAUAUUGUUCUAUUAUUCACCUUUACUGAAGUAGCAACAACCAGUUAAUAUUUUUUGUCAUUACAAGAUAGCAUAAUUAUUGUAAAUGGUAUAGUUGUCCCCCAAUCACAAUUUUCCAUAGAUUCUUUUUUCCUCCCCUCUGCCCCCCCCCCCCCCUGCCCUUUCUUGGGCUGAUCAUCAAAUUAAACCGUUAUUUUGCCCAUACAACCUGUAGACCGAUUCACGAGCAAUGGCAGUUUGUGCAGGUCGAGGCACAGUAGGGACUGCAUUGUUGCUGGUUCCAAGCGACAGUUGCAGUACACUCAUACACCUUCUUUGAGCUUGAUGAAAACAUGUAUCCUGCACAGUGUGUCUUUUGCUUGCUUAUGUAGGAUUUGUCACUUACCACCACCAACAAUGGUGACAACUCACAACAAAUAGAAUAAAAAUUCACUAAAUAACUGGCUACAGUCAUGUUUAAUGCUCACAUCAGCUACAACAUUCACAGCACAUCACUAGGCUGUCAGAGACUCUAUGAUGCAGGUGCACAGAACAGGCCUAAAAUCGACCACCAUAGUUCAUGACUCCAACUAUAGUAGUCUAUGCCAGUACUAACUUGUGUACAAUUUUUAGCAUGUGCAAAGAAUGGUUCAAAUGGCUCUAAGCUCUUUGAGACUUAACAUCUGAGGUCAUCAGUCCCCUUGACUUAGAACUACUUAAACCUAACUAACCUAAGGACAUCACACACAUCCAUGCCCGAGGCAGGAUUCGAACCUGCGACCAUAGCAGCAGCGCAGUUCCAGACUGAAGCACCUAAAACUGCUCAGCCACAGCAGCCGGCUGGCAUGUGCAUUCUUAUACUUUUAAUCUUUGAGUAUAAAGAAGUAUAAGAUUUAUUUGUUUACAGCUUCUUUGUAAAUUUCAUUAUGCUUGUGUUUUUGUAUAGAUAUUUGGUUGCAAAAGGUCACAUAUUUAGAAAAACGAUCUUUGCUCAGCUAUAAACUCUCACGUACAUUGUAUGGGCUAUGUGUAAAGUCUUAAGUUACCUGACGAUAGGUGAAAGGCAGUUCAUAAUGAACAAUAAAAAAAUAUUAUUGUGGAACAUCAAUACAGUGCAUUUAAGUUUUUAAUAUGAGUAGUUUUAGUUUUUGACAAAAUUUUCUUAAAUUGUAAAUAUGUAGAAGUAUAUAACACAGUAUCAUUGUUAUCCCAUGAAAAUAACAGCUGAACUGUGAUAUACACAGAUGCAAAAAUAAUUUUCAUGUAGACUUUUCCCCCUGGUUGAGUGUUCAGAAUGGAGUUAUAUACUUUGGUGGUAGGACAUUCAACAAGCUCCCCUCUAACAUAAAACAGAAAAUUGGGAAUCUCUAGCAUUUCAAAAGAAAAUUAAAAACCUACUUCCUUAUUUGAAUAUCUAGGUUCAGGGGUUGGAAAGUUUUGUUGGCUACAUGGCAAGUGGAAGUUUUAUUUUUGUAAAGGCCAUCAUAUUAACCAUUAUCUGUAGAAAUUAUUUAUUUCACAUUUGCAAUUUUGGCCUUGAAAUCAAAAAAAUUAUUGAAUAUGAAAUUCUUUAAAAAUGCUAUAUAAAUCUCAACCUCAACAAAGAGAAGUUAAUCAACAAGCAGUAGUCUUUGUCAUAAAGCAGUUUGAAAAGUAGUAAUGUUUUGUAAGUAAGACUCAUUGUUUAUAGACAUAAGUAAAUGUUUUCUUUUAAAAAGUAUCAUGUGAAGUAAAUAUUAAGUUAACAAUAGCAGAUAAAUGGCAGCUGUACAGUAAAACUGAUAAGGCAGCAUUUUUUUUUUUUUUUUCAAAGUAGCAGCUUUAUUACUAAUCUUUUAUUGAAUUUAAAUGAAUAAGCAUGAAUAGCAUUAAGCAGUGUAGUAAUAGUUUUCUGUUAAUACGGCAUACAGAUUAAGUUUCCAUGAUUUUUGUCUUAUGUUAACAUACACCUUGACUUGUUGUAAAUCCCUGGAGGUGGUUCUAGAUGAGAUCUAUGAAUUAUGGUUGAGUGAAUGUAUGACACUGAAGAAUAAGCUGCUGCUUCUUAUUGAUGGAAUGAACAAUUGGUGAGCCUUGUAUUAAUUCCAUAAUGAUCAAACCUGUGUAAUAGUAUAUCAUUGCCCACACAAUCAAACGCUUUUUUUAAAUAAAUGAAGAUACCUACUA